GACGAACGCUGGCGGCGUGCCUAACACAUGCAAGUCGUGCGAGAAAGUUCCUUCGGGAGCGAGUAAAGCGGCGCACGGGUGAGUAACACGUAGGUAACCUGCCCCCCAGUCUGGAACAACUAGAGGAAACUCUAGCUAAUGCCGGAUGAGACCACGAUCCCCUUCGGGGGUUGCGGCCCAAAGAUGGCCUCUACUUGUAAGCUAUCGCUGAGGGAUGGGCCUGCGGGCCAUUAGCUUGUUGGUGAGGUAACGGCUCACCAAGGCUGUGAUGGCUAGCUGGUCUGAGAGGAUGACCAGCCACACUGGGACUGAGACACGGCCCAGACUCCUACGGGAGGCAGCAGUGGGAAUA
rnacentral:rRNA from 1 species